rnacentral:lncRNA from 1 species
GUUGGUCUCUUCUUGUUUGGUUUCAAAGAAUUCCCAAGAAAAUUGACUGAAGUUUCCCUGCUACUGCUUGCUGAAUUCCGGGACUUCUUUUAUGCUCAUUUCUACCAUUUCCACUGCACUGAAGCCUCCAUCCUCGGUGGCUAUGGUUGAUGCAGAGUCCAGCCCAGACCCUGCUUGGAUCUCCUUGAACAUCGCCAUGACUUGAAUCAUGGUGGGCCGCCGCCAUGGCCGAUCGUCCAAACAGGCACACGCUACCUUUAAGUGUUGCAAGAGCUCAAUCUCCAGGUUGGGGUCCUCCUUCAUGAGCUCAGGAUCGAAUACAUCGCUUAUUCUCAGUUUGGCAUGCUGCUUCACCCACCCCACAAGGUUGUUAUCCCCAAAAUCAGCUGAAUCUGUUGGUUGCUUCCCUGUUAGAAGCUCUAGCAGAACUACUCCAUAACUGUAGACAUCGCCUUUUGUAGAACAUCUAAAGCUCUGGUAGUACUCGGGAGGGACAUAGCCGGGGGUGCCUGCAAGCGUGCUGACACUCAAAUGGGUGUCCAUUGCGCUCAUUAGCCUAGCCAUUCCGAAGUCAGAGACUCUGGCUUCAAAGUUUUCAUCAAGCAGGACGUUGCUCGAUUUCAUGUCGCGGUGGAUGAUGUGGGGGAUGCAGUUAUGGUGGAGGAAGGCUAAUCCCCUUGCAGCUCCAAUGGCAAUCUUCCUCCUAGCUGCCCAAUUCAGCUUGAUCCCAGCCUUUUUCCGGUCAUGUAGGAUGUCUUCCAGGCUUCCAAACCUCAUGUAUUCAUACACCAAGAGCCGUUCCUCCCCCACCUUGCAGUAGCCCAAGAGAGGGACGAGGUUUCGGUGCUUGAUUUUCCCAAUGGUUUCCAUUUCAGCCGUGAAUUCCCGGUCCCCCUGUCCGCUUAUAUGUAUCAGCUUCUUGAUGGCUACUAUGCUUCCAUCUUUCAGCUGAGCUCUGUACACAUCGCCAAAGCCACCAGAGCCAAUAAGGCUGUCAUUGUGGAAGCCAUUGGUGGCUUCAAGAAGAUCAGCAAAGGUGAGCUUCCGAAGGGGUUUUUCAAAUGUGGCUAGGUUGAUGCUCAAUGCUUCCCGGGCGCCAGUUAGCUUCCAGCUAACAUUUGCAGUGCCCGAAUGGGAAUUACUAUCAAUAUAAACGUCAAGAGUAGAAUCCUUCUUUUUCCUCCUUUUUCUCGUCUCAAUGGCAACUAUGAUCAAACCA